AUGGCACUGACAUGCCCAGAUAGUUGUGCAGGCUUUCCAGUGGGCCUCUGUGGUUAAUAACUAACUUGAAGGUUCACAAUGCUCAGGAUCCUGGUCUAAACAGACACUCAGAUUCCAGCAGUACGCAUCAAACAAUCAAACAAUUGUAUCUUGCCAAACAAAGAUGGCUUCAAGUUGGGGAAAAUCUAGAGGGGAAAAGCUUCUCUUUGCUCUCACUUGUUACCUUGAAGACAGUAGAGCAGACUACACCACCAUCAUAAGAAAAGAUUCCAGUAAUAAAUAAUAACGGCAAUAAUUAUACACUGAUAUGCUAUAUAUUAUAUAUGGCAUAUAUGUAAUACAAUAGAUAAUGUAAUGCAUUGCUAUAAAUAACAUUUCUGUUAAGAAAAACAGGAAAAAGACAGCACACUGAAGAAAAGAGGUGUUAAAGAUGGCAGACCAGUGAAAUUUAUUUCAGACUUCUGGCCUCUAGAACUGUGAGAGAAAUAGUUUUCUACUGUUUUAAGUCACCAAGUUUGGAGUAAUUUGUUACAAGAGUCACUGGUAAUUAGCAUACCGUACUGAAGUCCUCAGUGCUCUGGCUAAAUAUUGUUUUCAAGUUGCAAAUCAAAAAAAAAAAAACUGUUUGCAUUAACUAUGCAAAUAAAUACAGAAAAAACAACCAAAAUAAACUCUAUUUUAAAGCAAAAAAAUCAGGCACACUCUUUUUUUGGAAUUUUUAUUAUUUUUGAGGGCAGAUUUUUUUUCUUCCUCUAGAAGGUAAGGAUCCUAAGUUACCACUCUCUUACAUCACCUGAAAAAAGAUCAUUAACUAUAAAGAUGUAUGAUAACAUACAUUUCAUAAAAUGGCACAAAACACAUUUUCUUUUUAAAAAUUCCUUCUUUUAAGGUCUCUAAAUAUAAUAGAUUCAAGGCUGAACUAUUUUCUCUUGAUAAUUUAUUUUGGGAAAGCCAAUGCUCUCUAAAUGUCACAGAUUUGAAGGUUCAUUAAAAGUUAUUGGGGGAUUGUUUUUUAAUAAUGAAAUGCAAAUAUUAAAAGUGAAGGGAGUGUUAAUUACUUGAAAAUGGGAAACCAUUUGCGGUAUUUAAAACAGGCUACGAACACUCUAUUACUCUAAUUAUUUCAGGACUGAAGCCACCUCUGGUCUUCUGUGUUUGCUGGGCAUAUGGCAUUACAUUAGACAUGGCACAUAUGUGGAACAUGUUUUUCCGUCUUCCCCCUCUACAUAUUUUACUACGAUGUAAGCCAUAUGUUUCAUUACAAAGGGUGGGAAAACCAGCUGCCAUGUUCUUAGGGCACUGGGGCAGACCUUGGGGAGGCCCACAUGAUAAGGAACCAAGGGCCCCUGGCAGUACUGUGCAUGAGCUUAGAAGCAGUUAUUGUGAAUCCUGCCCACAGCCAUGUGAGUGAACCUAGAAGCAGAAAUUCUUCCAAUGAAGACUUGAAGUGACUGCAACUCUGCCCAACACCUUGACAGCAACCUCAUGAAAGAUCCUAGGUCAGAAAUACUCAAUUAAGCCAUUCCGUAUUCUUGAUUCACUGGAACUGAGAUAAUAAAUGUUUUAAGCUGUUAAUGGUGGGAUGAUUUGUUACACAGCUAUAGCUAACUACUAUGACAUCCAAUUAAAAUAAGCUGUGGCAGGGCAAGGGAAAGGCCAGAGAAUGAAUCUGUGUCUCCAAAUCCAGGAUUCUAACUUCUCAGUUGUAGGAUAUUGGGCACGGUCACAAAGCUCCUUGAGGCCUCAUUUCCACAUGUAUUCAAGAAAAAUGUCAACCAAAAUGAUUUCCAAGGUUUCUUUUGGCAGUGAAAAUGCAGGACUAAGCUAUAAAAGGCAGCUCUACCCUUAAUAUAAGAAAAGAUGGCCACUGGUACUGCCCAGCAAUGGGAUCUGCCUUCCAGGCCCUGUUGGUAGAGGAGAUUGGAUCAUCAUUGGUGUUGGCCAUAUGAUGCACUGGAUAGGAAUAAGCAGAUAAUACAUGAUGACUUUCAAUCCUGAUCUGCUAUAUUUCUGAUCCUAGCUGUAAAAACAAAAGAAAGAGAUAAUGCCCCAUAUCACACAGAACCAAAACAAAUCAAAGAAACAAACACUGUUUAGUCAUAGAAGGGCAGUCAUGACCCAUGAUAAAUGAAAAAAACAAGCAGCAGAAGCUACGUUAGGGGUCUCAAACCUGGCCAUACAUUAGAAGCAUGUAGGAUUUUAAAUUGACUUUUUAAUUUUUUAAAAGAUUUUUUCAUUUAUUUUAGAGAGAGAGAGAGAGAGCAUAUAAGUAGGGGAAGGGGCAGAGAGGGGAGAGGGGAGAAAAACUCUCAAGCAGAAUCCACAUUGAGCCUGAGCUUCACACAGAGCUUGACCUGGAGAUCAUGCCCUGAGCCAAAGGCAGACGCUCAACCACUGAGCCACCCAGAUGAUUCAAUUUUCAUCUUUAAAGGUCAUUGAAACACUAAGCUACAAAAUGACAAAACAACAGGUUGAAACAAUAAAAAAUAGCCACUUGUCUAAUGAACACUACAGAAGACUGCUGCCUGAUUUUUUCCUUAUUAAAUUAUUUUUCCCUUAGUUCUGAUGACAUUAUCAUCUAAGCCCUCCACUGAAACAGAAAAAAAUAAAAUUGAAAUUAAAAUUAUUUAAUUAAAUAUAAUUGAAUACUAUUCCCAGUGCAUAGUAAUGUAUAAGAAUGCCAUGUAAGAAUGAUGUACUGCCCAUGUUUCAAGAGUGUUUGUGUCCAUGGCAGAGGCACAGGGGAGGUGUUUGUCCAAAAGAAACCAACUGAUUCCUUUGUGUUAGUAUGAUGCUGAAUUUUAUUAAUGAUUUAUGAAUCAUCCAAGGACAAUGUAUCAUGUAAUAGCUGAAAUAUUUAUAUAUAUAUAUGUAUAUAUAUAUAUAUAUAUAUACAUAUAUAUAUAUAUUUAAGUGUCCAACAUCAAGGGAAAUUCACAAAGAGAGGUUUAUGUUAUAAUACUUACUAGAAAUUGUAUUAGGAAACAUUUCUGAGUCUAAUAUCUGUCUGAGUUCAUUUGAAAUGUCUCUAUUUACUCAUCCACUCUGUAUGUACCUUGUUUAGCUUCCUCACAAUGUUACAGAUUUGUAAACAGUAGUACUGUGAGCUAAAUGGAAAUUGCAGAAGUGUAAUUACAGCUGGAUGAGAAUGUUAAGUACUCACUUUGAGUUUUAACCUGAGAGUGUUUUGGAUGAAUAGCAUCAUCAAUCAAUAUUUAUUGAACAUUCAAAGGGUACAUGAUUUGGCCUAGGUAGUUGACAAUAAAGGCAUCCGUGCUUGUGUGGAUUUCCCUUCCUCAAAAAAUGUAGCGGAAAACUGCCAAAAAUCUAAUGUGAUAGGUUAAAAAAUGUGUCCCCCACCACUCAUUUGAAUACCAACAGUAAUGAAACAGAUUUUCUUCUAAAAAUUAGCUUUCAGUGUGAAAAUGAAAUGGCUCUACUGUGAGAAUACUGCUGUUAGAAGGAAAGGGAGUUUUCUUCAAUUGAUAUUACAUUUUUAGAAAGAUUAAUGAUUUUCAAAAAAAAAAAAAAGAGAAAGGGCACACUUUUUCAAAGAAAUGGUUCAAAUUCAUUCAUUUUGAAAAUAUAUGAAAAUCCAACCCUAAUCUCCCACCCCCAGUCCAAGGAUGCCAGUAAUGAUAAGUUGGUCAAUAUCCAAAGGGUUAAAAAAUGGACUUUCAUAUAAAUAGAAAAUGAGAAUUUAUAAAAUAUUAAUGUACUAAGGUAUCUAUGAUUACAAAUAGUUGGCUUCAAAUCAGUCUCAAUUUGGUAUGAUAAGGCAAGAAGAGAAAGAUCAACUUUUAUUCUAACCCAAUAAAAUAAUUUUUAAAAAAUGAGAUGAUUUCUUCAAAAAAUGAAGAAAUAUGUGCUAUGAGUUUUGUCUAUUUUCUGUUCAAGGGCAAUUCAUUUUCCUGUCAUAAAAUAUGAUCUAUCUGAACUGUGUAAUAUGGAAGAUUUAAUGAUUAUUAGACACUAGUGCAGUCAAUCCCUCACUCUGGAAAACUGAUUGAGAAGCUUUCACUGAAUGCAAAAUCUUCCACUUUAAACUCAGAGAACACUCAGAUGGAGAUCUACUUGAGUACUUGGGUUGAUCUUUUAUAAGUUCAAUACUUUCCUGGAAAUAUAUAUUACACUUUUUAUAUAGUAUACAUUC
rnacentral:lncRNA from 1 species